UGUGCUCCAAUAAUUGUGAAAUUCUGGAAGUGUACCCAAGCGGAAUAUUAGAUAGGGUCUCUUCCAGCUCUGCAGUUUUAAGAUGAUGAUGAUGAUGAUGAUGAUGAUGAUGAUGAUGAUGAUGAUGAGUUUAAUUUUGAUAGGAGGUAACAAAUGGCAUUAAUAAAAAUAUGUGCCUCCAACUGGAGAAUGGGAUGGAGCAGCCACUUCUUAGUAGUGUGGCAAAUAGGUAACAGGUAAAUGGCUGAUCAACCAUUAGGUAUCUGAAGUCUAAUCCCCCCUCAUUUUUUUUUUAAAAACCACUGACAGGAUGGAACAGAUCUGUGAAUGAAGACUUGUGAAGCUGAAAUGGAUGAAAAAUGCACACAUCUAUCCCUAACUGCAUCUUUCCUUGACUGCGGCCAUCUGAUGUACCAUUCAGGUGCUCAUAAAGAGGUCAGAGAUCUCCUGCCUGCCACCAUGUUCAACCUAAAACAAGGUAUGCAACCAGACUUGCUUUUCAAAGAUGGUCUGGCAUGCUCUUCCUGUUCAUAGCAAGAUU
rnacentral:lncRNA from 1 species